rnacentral:rRNA from 1 species
GAUGAACGCUGGCGGUAUGCUUAACACAUGCAAGUCGAACGGACUCUUCGGAGUUAGUGGCGGACGGGUGAGUAACGCGUGAGAAUCUGGCUUUGGGUUCGGGACAACCACUGGAAACGGUGGCUAAUACCGGAUGUGCCGAGAGGUAAAAGAGAAAUUGCCUGAAGUUGAGCUCGCGUCUGAUUAGCUAGUUGGUGAGGUAAAGGCUCACCAAGGCAGCGAUCAGUAGCUGGUCUGAGAGGAUGACCAGCCACACUGGGACUGAGACACGGCCCAGACUCAUACGGGAGGCAGCGGUGGGGAAUGUUCCGCAAUGGGCGAAAGCCUGACGGAGCAAUACCGAGUGAGGGAAGAAGGCUCUUGGGUUGUAAACCUCUUUUCUUAGGGAAGAACAAAAUGACGGUACCUAAGGAAUCAGCAUCGGCUAACUCCGUG